GCGGUAAAACACCGGUUCUCGUACGAUCACCGAAGUUAAGCAACGUCGAGUCUGGUCGGUACGUAGUUGGGUUACCAUUUGGGAAGACCAGGUGCUGUAAG